rnacentral:misc_RNA from 1 species
GCAAACUUGGUCAUUUAGAGGAAGUAAAAGUCGUAACAAGGUUUCCGUAGGUGAACCUGCGGAAGGAUCAUUACCAAUCUCUUAGCGGGCCUUGGCUUGUCCAUGGUUCGCAAAAACUUGUAUUUAAAACCCAACUCAUGUAAAUGAAUCAUACUUUUUUUAUAUCAUAUGGUGUAAAUUUAAAGAUCACUUUCAACAACGGAUCUCUUGGCUCUCAGAGACAGGCAAACUUGGUCAUUUAGAGGAAGUAAAAGUCGUAACAAGGUUUCCGUAGGUGAACCUGCGGAAGGAUCAUUACCAAUCUCUUAGCGGGCCUUGGCUUGUCCAUGGUUCGCAAAAACUUGUAUUUAAAACCCAACUCAUGUAAAUGAAUCAUACUUUUUUUAUAUCAUAUGGUGUAAAUUUAAAGAUCACUUUCAACAACGGAUCUCUUGGCUCUCGCAUCGAUGAAGAACGCAGC